GACGAACGCUGGCGGCGUGCUUAACACAUGCAAGUCGAACGGAAAGGCCCUGCUUUUGUGGGGUGCUCGAGUGGCGAACGGAUGAGUAACACGUGAGUAACCUGCCCUUGACUUUGGGAUAACUUCAGGAAACUGGGGCUAAUACCGGAUAGGAGCGCCUGCUGCAUGGUGGGGGUUGGAAAGUUUCGGCGGUUGGGGAUGGACUCGCGGCUUAUCAGCUUGUUGGUGGGGUAGUGGCUUACCAAGGCUUUGACGGGUAGCCGGCCUGAGAGGGUGACCGGCCACAUUGGGACUGAGAUACGGCCCAGACUCCUACGGGAGGAAGCAGUGGGGAAUAGUGCACAAUGGGCGGAAGCCUGAUGCAGCAACGCCGCGUGCGGGAUGACGGCCUUCGGGUUGUAAACCGCUUUCGCCUGUGACGAAGCGUGAGUGACGGUAAUGGGUAAAGAAGCACCGGCUAACUACGUG
rnacentral:rRNA from 1 species